rnacentral:lncRNA from 1 species
ACAGAAUCCAACAAAAUCGUCAUCAUGCGACCUUUUAAAAAUGGCGUCGUACUUGAAACGUACCUGGAUCGUCUGCGGUUCUUUUCAUCGGCGGAAGCGAUGAGGUGUGCAACAGACAUGGACAAAGUGUAUGGAGUCUGAGCAUUUCACUUUAGAAAAGGCGGCGGCAC